rnacentral:rRNA from 1 species
UACGUAGGGACCAAGCGUUGUUCGGAUUUACUGGGCGUAAAGGGCGCGUAGGCGGCAAUUCAAGUCAUCUGUGAAAUCUCCGGGCUUAACUCGGAACGGUCAGAUGAUACUGCUUUGCUAGAGUGCGGAAGGGGCAAUCGGAAUUCUCGGUGUAGCGGUGAAAUGCGUAGAUAUCGAGAGGAACACCUGAGGUGAAGACGGGUUGCUGGGCCGACACUGACGCUGACAGCGCGAAAGCCAGGGGAGCAAACGGG